rnacentral:sRNA from 1 species
GGAAGAGUAGCUCGGACUAAAAGCGCGACAUCGCGUCACAACGUCCGAGUGAACAACAUCCUG